UUUUAUGAGAGUUUGAUCCUGGCUCAGGACGAACGCUGGCGGCGUGCCUAAUACAUGCAAGUCGUACGCUUCUUUUUCCACCGGAGCUUGCUCCACCGGAAAAAGAAGAGUGGCGAACGGGUGAGUAACACGUGGGUAACCUGCCCAUCAGAAGGGGAUAACACUUGGAAACAGGUGCUAAUACCGUAUAACAAUCGAAAUCGCAUGAUUUUGAUUUGAAAGGCGCU
rnacentral:rRNA from 1 species